UACAGAGGUGGCAAGCGUUGUUCGGAAUUACUGGGCGUAAAGGGUGCGUAGGCGGGUCUUUAAGUCAGGGGUGAAAUCCUGGAGCUCAACUCCAGAACUGCCUUUGAUACUGAGGAUCUUGAGUUCGGGAGAGGUGAGUGGAACUGCGAGUGUAGAGGUGAAAUUCGUAGAUAUUCGCAAGAACACCAGUGGCGAAGGCGGCUCACUGGCCCGAUACUGACGCUGAGGCACGAAAGCGUGGGGAGCAAACAGG
rnacentral:rRNA from 1 species